AUUGAACGCUAGCGGGAUGCUUUACACAUGCAAGUCGAACGGCAGCGCGGACUUCGGUCUGGCGGCGAGUGGCGAACGGGUGAGUAAUGUAUCGGAACGUGCCCAGUAGCGGGGGAUAACUACGCGAAAGCGUAGCUAAUACCGCAUACGCCCUACGGGGGAAAGCAGGGGAUCGUAAGACCUUGCACUAUUGGAGCGGCCGAUAUCGGAUUAGCUAGUUGGUGAGGUAACGGCUCACCAAGGCGACGAUCCGUAGCUGGUUUGAGAGGACGACCAGCCACACUGGGACUGAGACACGGCCCAGACUCCUACGGGAGGCAGCAGUGGGGAAUUUUGGACAAUGGGGCAACCCUGAUCCAGCCAUCCCGCGUGUGCGAUGAAGGCCUUCGGGUUGUAAAGUACUUUUGGCAGGAAAGAAACGUCGCGGGCUAAUACCCCGUGGAACUGACGGUACCUGCAGAAUAAGCACCGGCUAACUACGUG
rnacentral:rRNA from 1 species